UACGGAGGGUGCAAGCGUUGUCCGGAUUUAUUGGGUUUAAAGGGUGCGUAGGCGGUUCUUUAAGUCCGGGGUGAAAGCCCACUGCUCAACAGUGGAACUGCCCUGUAAACUGGAGAACUUGAGUACAGACGAGGGCGGCGGAAUGGAUGGUGUAGCGGUGAAAUGCAUAGAUACCAUCCAGAACCCCGAUUGCGAAGGAAGCUGCCUAGACUGUAACUGACGCUGAGGCACGAAAGCGUGGGGAGCGAACAGG
rnacentral:rRNA from 1 species